UACGGAGGGUGCAAACGUUGCUCGGAAUCAUUGGGCGUAAAGCGCACGUAGGCGGCGCGUUAAGUCGGGUGUGAAAGCCCUGGGCUCAACCCAGGAAGUGCAUUCGAAACUGGCGCGCUUGAAUAUGGAAGAGGGUCGCGGAAUUCCCGGUGUAGAGGUGAAAGUUCGUAGAUAUCGGGAGGAACACCAGUGGCGAAGGCGGCGACCUGGGCCAAUAUUGACGCUGAGGUGCGAAGCGUGGGGAGCAAACAGGAUUGAGAA
rnacentral:rRNA from 1 species